rnacentral:rRNA from 1 species
CAGUCGCCACGGGAAUACGUAGGGUGCAAGCGUUAAUCGGAAUUACUGGGCGUAAAGCGUGCGCGGCGGUUAUAUAAGACAGAUGUGAAAUCCCCGGGCUCAACCUGGGAACUGCAUUUGUGACUGUAUAGCUAGAGUACGGCAGAGGGGGAUGGAAUUCCGCGUGUAGCAGUGAAAUGCGUAGAUAUGCGGAGGAACACCGAUGGCGAAGGCAAUCCCCUGGGCCUGUACUGACGCUCAUGCACGAAAGCGUGGGGAGCAAACAGGAUUAGAUACCCAGUAGUCCCUGUCUCUUAUACAC